rnacentral:lncRNA from 1 species
GAGUUCCAUAUCCCACUGCCAAGUGUGUUGUCCAUGAUGUGUAAAGCAGUUAAUUUGUAUACCUGGCCUUCAGUUCCUCUCUAGAUAACUUUGAACUCUCUUUAUGAAUGAAAUGUUGUGAGAAAAACUGGAGUUGAUUUUCACAUUUGAGGUCGUUAAUGGUGAUUUUUCUUAAUGUAAUUGUGAUGGAAAAGAAAUUUGAUCAAGGAGUCGAAACCAUAAGCAGAGUCGAUCUCAUUCAACAUUGCAUUAUAAUUUGGUACCCCUCACAGAUCGCUCCAAAUAGCAUUGGAAAGUACUUUCAUUUUCCUUCAGUGGAGGCUUCUUUUUCUUUGCUGGUUAAUAUUCAUAGCUUCAGUGCUUGAUAAAAUUUCGUUACUUGACAUUGUUCACUCUUGUCCCUCCUGCUCUAAUCACAAACAAAUGCCCCAAUAAAUAAGAAUGAUUUGUUCAAGAAAUUUGAAAAUACUUGAACAAUAAAAGAAAAGAAUAGGAGAGAAAGGAAAAGAAAUUCAGAAAGCAAAUACUUGGUAGUUUCCAUUUCAAUUAACCGAUCUUUGAAACUAAAAUGUAAUUCUUGCAGUAGAAUAAAAGAAGACACGCAACAUCUUGAGAAGAUUCAUCUAAUGGAACAUACCAUGCUACAAUUGGCAACUGAGACUAAAUAGUAGUUUUUGGUAGAAUAGAUAUCGCAUGCCAAAAAGAAUGUCUUGUAGCUCUGACUACUUCAAAAUUCUUGUACGUAUAGCCCACAAAGCUUUCGAGAUCAUACUUGUUUAUUCAGGCCUGUUUGAACAUACGACCCUAGCGGAAGAUCUUACAACUUUAGGAGUUCAUAGUGUCCAUGAAAUCACAGGAAAAGAAAAGGAUAUAUAGUCAAGUUCAUGAAAAAUAAAGAGAUGGCUUAUUAAAGUUCACAAAUCUGGACAUCUAAAACACUUUAAUUGUGUUUGGUUGAGUCUCCAUUUAUUUGGCAAUUCCCAUCAAGUCUAAUGAUUGACCACCGAUGACUUGAAAAUCGAAGCAUUGGAUGUGCCGCAUGUAGUUGAUGUUGCAUUAUUGAGGGUGGUUAUAUUAUAAAUUAAAUAGACAUGAUAAGAGCAUGAGUUAUAGAUUACCCGAUCCUGACUUGUCUCAUUUAUAUUAAUCUAUUCUCAUUCCUAUCCUAACAAAAAAUUUUAAAUGAGGAUGGAUGGAUAUGAGAAUUUCUCAUCUUAUACCAUUUAUUUAUUUAUUUUAGUUUUUUAACAAUUAAAAAUAAAAAUAUUUUAUAAAUAAAUAAAAUUUAUAAAUUUUAUAACUUAUUUUAUUUAAAUAUAUAAUUAUUUCAUGUGUUCAAAAGAAGAAAAUGAAAAACAAUAAAUUAAAUUAAUUUUAAAUUUAAUUAUACGGCUUGGAAAGUAGUGGGUUAGUACAAGGCAUAUCUUGAACCCUGCCCCUAACCAACCCUAGUUUUAAAACAAAAAAAAAUGUUGAAUUUGUAUCUAAUCAAUUUAUUUUCAUUUAAACUUGUCUUCUUGAAGUAAGUAUUUGAAAAAACUAGUCUCAUUAUCAUCUUUAAUCAUAAUUUUUUUUAAUUUAAAUUUAGAUACCAACAAACAUUUAAAUUAAAUUAAAAAUUCUUAUGCAAACAAGGGCUUUUUAGUUGCAGAAAAAUUGUGUACCUUCUUUGACAUUCUAGAUCCAGUUAUUGCAUUUUUUGGAGGAUCCACAUGAGGAACAAUUUAAAUUUAUUCACAUAUACAAUUAUUCAAAAAGGCAUCAUACUGAACACAAGCAAAAUAACUACAAAUGUUAAUAGAAAUGGAUGGAAGCAUACAGGAAGAAUAUAAAAAAGGAUUUUGAAGCCAAAAAAAUAAAAAAAAAUCAAAAUAAAUAAAAGUAUAUGGUGGCUUAUUAUUGCUCAGGCCUAAUAAUUGAUUGUACAUGUCAAUGGGCCUAAUAUUAUUGCUCCGGCCUUUAUUCUAGAUGUCCAGGCCCUGUCAUUGCCUGAGUGUGAGGUCAUGGCUCGUUCUCUGUAUAGGUAGGUUCAUCCCUUGUCCAUUUGUAUACUUUUGAUCCAUGUGGUCAAGCCAACUUGGCUAUUGGGUACUUCAGGUGCGAUACCUUCUAUCUUACUUCUUACCCAAUUGAGUGAUUUAUCUUAGACGUCAUGGGGUCAUACACCUCUAAAACUUGAGUUGGUGUACUACUACCUUUCCCAGUGCUGAUCUCUCAGAUUCUUUCAUGGGCUUGAGUUCUAGCAUUAGCUUCCUGUUCUCCCCUACCCUGGUCCUAUAGUACUAUUUAUUUUUCAAACUUGGCCCUAGAUUUUUUUUAGUGUAAAAAGUACUAUUUUGUUGAAUUUAAAAAAACUAAUAGGGAACAUAACCUUUCAAUAAGCUUAAACCUCUAUCUCUCAAAACUUUCAAAAUCCUUCUUGAAAGUCUCUUUUGGCUAAAACAAAUAUUUGAGACUCGCAUUGUAUAUGCUUUAAUAAGGGCUUUGAGGGACUCGCUAAAGAUAUAGGUGACAAUUUUGAUAUGAUACUAACACGACUUGAAAAUGAUAUAAAUUUUAAUAGAUUCAGAUUAGGUAUAACAUAUUCAUGUUGUAAACAUAUCAACUCAUAUGACCCGUUUAAUAAAAAUGUACAAUUAUCCAACCCCAUAUAGCUUGUUUACUAAUUCAUGCCAAACAAACCAAUUUAUUUAAUCAUAUCAAAAUGAUGUUUAACUCAUAUAAAAUUAUUAAUAUUAUAUUUCAAAAUUAUAAAAAAAAAAAUACUUAUUAGUUAUAAAUAUGAUAUAGUUAAAAAAUGAAGUAACUAAGUAAAAUUUUAUACAUUUCAUUGUAAAUAUUAAAAUUAUUUUAUCAUUAGAACAUUAGAUAGAAUUAUAAACAAGCGUAAAAUUCAAAUUUUAAUGUAUUUUUAUGUUAUAAACAUUUUCUAAUUUAAAUUUUAUAAUUAAAUUAGUUAAAAUUUAAAAAAUUAAAAUGCAUUUCGAAUAAUACAUUUAUAAAUUUUAAAUAGGUUAAACAUGCUAAAAUUGUAUUAACAUGUUAAACGAGUUAAAAUGGGCUAACCAUGUUAGAAUUGUAUUAGUAUGUUACACAAGUUCAAAUUGUGAUAACAUAUUAAACGGAUUAGAAUCAUGUUAAUGGGUUCAACGGCUAUUAAUAUGUUUCUUAUGUUAGAAUUGUAAUAAUAAGUUAUCUAUGUCAAUUUAUACAAAGGUUAACUUAACCCGUCUAUUAAAUCAGUUUUGUUUGAAUUAGGUCAUUUUAACACAAUUCUUAAAUAAACUGUAUUCCUAUUGAGUAAAUUUUCACUAUUUUUUAUCUUAACAUUAUACAAAUCCAACACGUACGAUAUCACUUAUUGUCACCCCUAACUAAGGAGCAUAUGAGUGUUGCAUUGAGGAACCAGAAGAAGAGUGUAAAUACUAUUUAUAAAAAACUUUAGGAAGUGGAAGCAUUCUAUCAAGUAAAGUUGUGUUAACUUUUUUUCAUAGUUAGUGGAUUAUUCAAUGGUCAAGAGACCAACUAUGGUUUUUUACGCCUAAGGAUUUCUAGGUAGGUUCCACAUUAAAUUCUAUAUCUAAUUGUAUAAUUAGAAAUAUCGUGCAUGAGAUUGAUAACAUAUUAAUCAUAAUUGAAUCAUAAUAAAAUAAUUUAACUUUGGGGUUAAUUAAUUGAACUACGUAUGUAUGGAUAUUUUAUAUUUUUUAACUUUAAAUUAAUUAUUAUGUUGGGAAAUGGAAUAAGGGAAUAGUUGGCUCCAUUUUCAAUCUUGGUAACAUAAUUUGUUGUUGACAUGUUAUUUUAUCUUAUUUUAUAUAUUUUGUAGGAUAAAAAUAUAUAAUCAAGUGCUCUUGCAUGAUUGAUUUAGAUGUUAGAAAAGGUUACAAAACAUUAAUUCUAUUUGACUGAUGACAAAAACUUUUAAUUGCCAACAAUUUUUUUUUUUAUAAACUUUAAGUUGCUAGCAUUCAUAUGUUAUCCUAAAGUUAUUAAUUAUAAUUUUAUCUAAGUUGAACCACAAUUUUUGGGUAAAUGAAGAAGUAUUUAUUGACAAGAUACUUGUUUAUAUUGGAAGUUUUUAGUUUGAUUUGUUGUUGAAUUCAAAUUCUUAGUAGCUAGCUUUGAAUACUAUCUAGUUGCAUUGGUUUUUGUUGUAAGUUCGGUUUUUAUAUUGUUUCCAGACAUGAUGUUUAUUAAUUGAGAAUGCUAAUGAUUCGAGGUUGGAAUCGAUCACUCCUUACUAAACUUAUUCUUUUAGGCUAUGUUUAGUUGGCCGAAUAUAAUAUAUAAUAGAAUAAGAGAAAUGAUAUUAUAUCAUAUUCCAUCUUUAGUUGAUGAUGAGAUAUGAUAAAUUAUUUCAUUGCUUAUUAUAUACUAUGUUUAACUAAAUAUGAGAUAUGAUAAGUGAUGAGAUAUAUUACCCACCUUUUUUAUUUUUAUUUUUAUCUCUUAUACAUGAAAUAUGUUAAUCUCAUGCUAAGAUAUAAGAAAUGCAUAUUUCAUAUAUCAUAAAUUUAUUUUUUAUCAAUUUUUUUAUAUAUUUAUUUUGUAAAAUAAUUUUUUUAUUAUAAAAUUAAAUUUAUAGUUAAAAAAGAAAAACUAAAAAAAUAUUUAUAAAUAACAUUAAUAUAUGAUAUAUAGAUUACUUUUAUGUAUUAAAUAACAUAACAUAAACAUUUUUUAUUUGUAAAAUUUAAAUAUUUUAAUCAUGACUAAUUUUAAACAUAAAAGAAAUUUCAUUUUUUUAAAUGGAAAAUAUUAGAAUGUGAUAUAAUUUUUAUUUUAAACAUUGAAAAUAAUAUAUAUAUAUAUAUAUAUAUAUAUAUAUAUAUAUAUAUAUAUAUAUAUAUAUAUAUAUAUAUAUAUAUAUCAUAUUAUUUUUAUUCAUUUCAUAAAUUAAAUAUAAAUAUAAUAUAAUAUAUCUAAUUAGAUAUGUCACAUUAGAAUAUCAUAUUCAUAUGAUAUAUAUAUUUAAGAAUAUCAUAUCCUAUUAGAAAUUAUAUUUUUAGGAUAUCAUUCUUUUUACCACAAGAGAGCAACAAUUGCUUUUAAUCGGUAAAAUUUGUAUGUGUACUAAAGUUGCACUGCCUAAUGUAAAGUGUUGGCUCCGCCACUGUGUUGCACCUCAAGCCACCACCAAGUCUCCACAUGAUGCUCUUGUAAGCCUUGAUUAUCACAUUACCUUGGUCAAUAGGCACUUAUGGGUACAAGGUGCAACCCCAUGAGACCUUAGUGCCACAUUCUCCAAGUCAAGGUGUUAAUACUCUUCUAUGCUCACAAACUUAAUUUGGUCACCAUUUAUUAACUUAUAAGUCUCUAUAACCAUAAAUAAAAUUUUAAACAUACUAUUAGAACAAGACUCUAUAUUUUGGGUUUUGAUAUCCAAUAAGAUAUGAUAUUUUAAGAAAUACAUAUUUUAUUAAAUUCUAUCCCGUCAAUGAAAUAUAACCUUAAAUGUAUUCUCAUUUUUGUUUCGCAUCUUUAUCCGAAAUCCAGGAAUUUACUUUUUUUUGUUUUAAGGUAAUUCAUUUUUAAUUUUAUUUUAUGUGUAUUAAAAAAAUAAAAGAAAAAAUAAGGAGUGACAUCAAUCAUUAUAAAGCCUGAAUCAAUCCCAAACAUACAUAAGAAGACGAUUUAAGUCUUAAAAUAAAAUCCCAAACCUACUUCUGAUUAGACUACGCGUUUUGAUGACAUUUCACUUGAAAAUAAUGCAGAGUUUUCACUUAUAUUAUAUACUGUCUGAAUUUUAUUUUUGAUUCAUUUCGAUCUAUAAACAGAAACGGAAUUCCCAGUUUUGAAGUAUCAACUUCAUUCCAACUUAUAUUUCAAGUUAAAUAAUAGAUGUUCCAUUCAGAAUUCUUGCAUUGUAUGAUGUGUAAUUCUCUUGUUCAGUUGGCUCUGAUCAGUUUUUCCUUUUGUCCUUUUAUUGCAUUUAGAGUUGGGGCUUGUUCUAGCAGUUCUGGCAACAGCCGGGUUGAUCUUCUUCAUAUAGAUUGGGGUGCUUCUGUUUUUGCUGAUUGGAGAUGUGCUGCUCUUUCUCCUUGUACUUGGUAUUCGGGUGAGAGGUGGAUUAUGUUUGCUUGCUUGCUGGUCUGAGUUUCUGAUAUGUUUUGUCACGGUGGCAUGAGUGCUGAUUCUCAGAGCAUUGAUAUUUUCAUGGUGCUGAGACUGCUGGGAAGGUUGCAGCAUCCUUUUCGUUUCUGGCUGGAAUUGGAUUCUCUGUGUUGGCUUUGCUCUCUGGUUUCUUCACCUAAUUCAACAGAGCCACAUGCUUUGGUCCAUAUACCAGACUGCUGCAUACUUCCUUGGGUUUGAUAUCCCACUGCCAAGGGUGUUGUCCAUAAUGUUAUGUUAUGUUAUGUAAACAAGUUUCAACUUUCACCCAUUGUGGAUUGAAAUGUUUAAUUUGGGAGAAAAACUGGUUGAUUUUAACAUUUGAGGUUGUUAAUGGUGAUUUUUCUUAUAAUGACUGACUGAAAAGAAUGUUGAUGAACAAGGUGGAAGUAUAAGCAGGGUUCUGAGGACUCAAAUAAAAGGGAAAACUUGGGUUCACUUCUGCAAUGGUUUUGGCACUUGGCACUAACUGAUGAAUGGAAAAGAGGUUCAGGGAUGAUGAAGUGAUCUUAUUCAACGUUGCAUUCUAAUUCCUCUCAUUUUCAUAUCUAUUUUCUACCAUGCUAUAUUCAAUAUCCAUUCUGUGAGUUGAAUGACCCAUGUUUUUAUUUUUCUAAGAAAUUCUCUAUCAUUUCAUCAUAACAUCCAGAGGAAACAUAGACAAGAAUUUCUCAUUUUUCAUUCGGGAGCAUUUAGAUCUUCCAACACCAACCUCACUGAACAUGACCGCAAAAUUCCUUCGAUUUUGGACUUAAAAUUAUGUUAGUACCCAUUGGACAAUCCAUUAGGUCACAGUUUGACCUAACUUGAUUCUUUCUUACCCAUGUCUUUUCCUUUGAAUUUUGGGGUGCCCUAUAAUUCAAGUCAAUGAAUUUGGACAAAUCAAAUCAAUUUUUUUCCCAAUUGAUGCCAAGGAAUAUCCAUAUGAUUCAAACAAUAUUUACAUUGUUUGUUUGAAUUUUGCCUAAAGUAUUCAUGAUUGUGUCCAAACAAAAUGCUUAUUAAUGACAUUAGUAAUGACACAAGUGCGUGUGUAGACCCCCAUAUGGGGCUUGGUUUUCAUGCAGCCUGUUUUGCCAAGUGUCACAAUUCCAUAAGGCCAUGUGUUGAUUUCUAGUUGGCUGCUGGGAAUCAGAGUAGUGGAAUUGGAGGACCAAUGAGAGGUCGACACGUGGCAAGAAGAUUCCAAGGAAUCUGCAGAAGCCGUUAUGGAGGAGCGUUUCUGGCAGCUGGAGAGGAGGGUGCUUUUCAGAGUUGGUUAGGAUAUACAAUCAGAGAGGCUGCAAAAAGAAAGGGAGGAAAAAUCAGACAGGAGAGUUGCAGAGAGGGAGUUUUGGAGAGCUUAGAGAGAGACAUUUCUUGGGGAGCAAGCUGGAUAUUCAGAGACUGGAGAGAAAAACGAAAGGAAAAAUCAGAAGAGAGAGGUACCUGGGCUGCUGAAGGGAUUGCCAAGGGAGUCCAGAGGGAGUUUCCAUUAGAGAGGGAGUUGAGAGCUGUUAUCGAGAUAACAGAGGAGGGUUUUUGACCAAGGGUAGAGGAAGCUGCCAGCUGCAAGAGAGAGUGAUUGCUGUUAGAGAGAGAAAGGUUCAUCUUUCUGAGGCUGGUUCCAGGAAGGAUUUGGGCAGGGAGGAGCGGAUUCCGUUAGGGGGAGCAAGCUGUGUAGAGGAGAGCUGGAGAGAGAAAAACAGAGCAUGUUUCGGGAGAGAGAGGACAGAGCAUUUUUUUAGAGUGAAACCAGAGAGAGAAACCAGAGGAGUGGGGAGGUGUUUGUGGAGAGGUAUGGGAGGAUUUGCAGGGGGCAGGCUGGUGACAGAGGGGAGAGCUUGAAGGUGAAGUUUCGUUGAAGGGGAGGCAAACUAGCAGGAGAGGAGGUUUUUCUGGAGUUUUGAGAGGAAGACAGGCGCAGAAAGGCGCAGAGGAGUCAUUUUGGAAGAAGACGUUUUAGCGCGUUACGGCUCGUGGCCCAGGUACGCACUCUCUAUACCUAUUCUGUUUUUUAUAAGUGCAAGAUUGAUUUGAGUAUCCAUUGUUUUUCCCAUUGAUUGUCAUGUCAGCUUCAUUUUAUUAGUAGAGACCCGACUUUAGGGAUUUAGAGGGGUGCUACGGUCUUUACCGUACCUUCCCGAUAAGUAACCUGACCCCCGAACCCGAUCCGGUUUUUCACAGACCGCCUUUUCCAAAAUAAGGAGUCACACUUAGGGUUUUUCUUUCUUAUUUUGUUUACCUUUUAAAAAUAAAACAAAAAUAAGUGGCGACUCCAAAUCAUUUUCAAAUAAUCAAUAAAAAUCAAUUUUUCAAAUAAAAAUCAAGCUCGACAUCGAGUGGGAAACGCAUCGAGCAAUCGAAAUGCGGGGUCCACAGCGUGGUUUUGACAUUUUCAAUAUUUGCAUUCCCAUUACUAAUUUUUGUUUCCCCAUUUUUUUUUUUUUCAUUUUUUGUUUGUUUUGGACUGGUGCUUCCUUCCUCAUUCAUUCUACUUUCGUUUUUUGAAAAACAUUUGUCUCUUUUGCACACAUCCUAAAAAGCCCAAAAGCAUUUUUUUUAACUUAAGCUUUUUUUUCAAUUUAUCUUAAAAUGAAAAUAAAAAAUACAAUUUUCUUAUUGAAGUGUUAUUUUGAUUUAUAGAUAAAGUUAUUUCAUAUUUUAUAAAUCUUUUACUCUAUUUAUUUUGUUCUUUGCAAAUUAUAAUUUGGCUCACUUCAACUUUGAAACAAAAUCAGAAUAAAAAAAAUUAUAGCAAAUUAUGUUUUAAUCUGCUUUCCAAGUGGAAAAUACAAAUAAUGCAACCCGUAUCUGCAUAAAAUUAGUGCAUGUAACAUUACUUUUCAAUGGACUUGAAAAAAUAUUUUAAAACCAACAACUCCAAAAGUCAAUGGUCUCAAUAAUCUAGUGUAAUAGGUUUCCAAAAGAUGAAGGGUGUGAAGAUCCCUAAAAUGUUUUUGAGUGUAAGUGUUUCCAAAAGAUAUAAGCAAGUACGAAUUUCUUUAAAAUGUUUUUCAAUUGUUUUUUUACAUGGUUAUUUAAGUUGCUUAAUAAUAAAUCGUUUUCUAAUUUCUGUAUGAAUUAAAUAUUAUUAUUUUUCUAAAAUAAGAAGUAUGUUUAAUAAUUAAUUUAUCUAAGUAAUAAUAAUGACCAACAACCUUUUAGACCUAGUCUUUCAAUCGACUGAUUUAUUUUCUAGGUAUAAAUUAUCGGGAAGUAAAAUACAUGUAUUGAUGGAUUAAUUAAAGGGAGAGUUAAACCUUCUAAGACACUACCCAUCUCACUUGAGAAUGGAAAAUUGAAUGGCUACAAAUACAUCCUUAUUUCCCUCUUUCCACAAAAAUGGUCUUCCAUAUCCUCUUAUCAAUUUCACUUCAAUUAUCCUUAAAAAAAUCACUUCACAACUUCAAAGAUUUGUUAGUAAAAUUAUAAAAGUACUAACAUGUCACUUGAGUAAAAAAGACAUGAUUAAUAUCCAAAAAAUGAAACAUAUACCAUAUUUAUCAUCUAAAUUAUGUACUUCUUAAAUAGUAAUUACAUGUUACAUAAGAUAGAAUCAUGUUAACAUAUUAAACGGAUUAGAAUCAUGCUAUCUGGUUUAACGAAUGUUAAUAGGUAUAAUAGGUUAGAAUCGAAUUAACGGGGGUUACCUAUGUUAAUUCAUAUAAAGGUCAACUUAACCUAUUUAUUAAAUUAGUUAUGUUUAUAUCAAGUUAUUUUAACAUGAUGUUUAAACAAAUCAUAUUCCAUUUGAGUAAAUUUUCACUAGUUUUUAUCUUGACGCAAUACAAAUCCAACAUAAUAUGACCCAUUAUCACCCUAAUUAAGGAGCAUACGAGUGUUGCAUUAAGGAAGUGGAAGAAGAGCAUAGAUACUAAUGAUAUCAAAUUUUAGGGAGUGGAAGCAUUUAAUCAAGUAAAGUUGUGUAACUUUUUUUUCAUAAGUAGUGAAUUAUUCAAUUGUCAAGAGACCAACCAUAGUUUUUUUUACACCUAGGGAUUUCUAGGUGGUUUCCACAUUAAAUUCUAUGUCGAAUUGUGUAAUUGGAAAUCUCAUGCAUGAGAUUGAUAAGAUAUUGAUGAUAAUUGAGUUGGAAUAAAAUAAUUUAACUUUGAGGGGUUAAUUGCUUGGACUACCUAUUUACCCCUCCCGUAAGAAGUUCCAUAUCAACAAAAAAGUUCUUUCAAUAUGUAUAUAGAUAUUUUAUAUUUUCUAAUUUUAAAUUUAUUUUUAUAUUGGGAAAUUGAAUAAUUGAAUGGGGAAAUAGUUGGUUCAAUUUUCAAGCUUGGAAACAAAAUUUGUUGUUAACAUGUUAUUUUACCUUAUUUUAUACAUUUUUUUUUGAAUACAAAUAUAUAAUCAAGUGCUCUUGUAUGAUUGAUUUAGAUGUUAGCAAAGGUUACAAUCAUUAAUUCUAUUAAUUGACCAACAAUUUUUUAUAAACUUUAAGUUGCUAGCAUUCAUAUAUCAUCCUAAAAUUAUUAAUUAUAAUUUUAUUUAAGUUGAACCACAAAUCUUGGGUAAAUGAAGAAGAAUUUGUUAACAAGAUACUUGUUUAUAUCGGAAGUUUUUAGUUUGAUUUGUUGUUGUUGAAUUCAAAUUCCUAGAAGCUAGCUUUGAGGACUAGCUAGUUGCCUUGGUUUUUGUUAUAUGUUUGAUUUUUAUAUUGUUUUCAGACAUGAUGUGUAAAAUGGAUUAAUGGUAAUGAUGUUGAAACAUGGCUAAUACUAUUAGACCAAUGUUGAAGAGAGUGCCUUUGCUGAGCUGCAUCUGGAGCAAGCUCCAUGACAAGCUCCAUUUACUCCGAAGUAUUGCUUCACAACCUCUCUUUGUGUAUUAUAAAGUUGUGAGUAGAAUUAUUAAAGUUGUUUAAACAAGUGGCAAUCUUGAUAUGCCAGAAUGACACCAUUAGAAAAUUAUAUAAAUUUUAGUAGGUUCAGGUAAGUUGUAAUUAUAUCAGAGUAAUAAUCUUGUCAACUUGCAUAACUCAUUUAAAUGAUUUAAAUAUAUUUAUGAGUGGCAUUUGCAUUGCCUAAUUAUAGUUCUUAUUAGAGAAUGAGUUACUAUCAAUUUUAUGGAAUGAAACUAUAAUUAGUCGGUAUUACUUCAAAGUGAAAUCUUACUCAUAAAAUUUUUCAAUUAAAUUCAAAAGUUAAAAUUAUAAAGUAGAGAAUUAAAAGAACCAUUGAGCAUAGUUUAAAAUUUGAAUAUUAUACGUUUAUUAUUGUAAUGCAAGCCCAAUAUUUAUUAUUUAUUAUUAAAAAUAUAAUUUUAUAUCUAAUUUUUAUAUUUAAGAUAAUUUAGCACAUUUGAACAAUGCUUUGAGAAUAAGAUUGAAGCAUCUAAUUUGACUAAUUGGAUACAAAUCAAACUAAUCCAGUCUUAUUUUUCGUAUUUAUCCACCUUCAAUUAUAAGAUAAACAUAAACAAAAGUCUUUAUAUGAUUAUAACAAUAUAAACACUAAAAUAAUGAGUUUAACAUUAAAUAACAAAAAAUUUAUUUCAAUCUUUGACAUAUUGUUAUAUAAGUUAUAUAUAUGUUAGUAAAAUAAGAAAUAUUAAUAUAUUUAAAAUAUUAAUUAAUAAAAUCACAAUUUUUUGUUAUUGUUAAUAUUUAAUUAAUAAAUUCUAAUUAAAUCUAAAAUAAAAACUUUACACAAAUUAGUAUAAAACCAAAUAUGAUCGCCAUAUUUGUAUUUUAAAUGAGAAACAAAUGUUAAAAGAUAUAAAAAAGAAAAAAAACUCAUUGUCUAGUAUUUUAAUUAUUUAUAUAAUUUUAACUUCUUGUAUUAUUUUAAAUUUUAAUAAUAUAUGAAUUAUAUAUGCAUAUUGCCAUGCUGAUAUCAUGUUUCAAUUACUUGAAUCACCAGUUCAAUUAAGAAACUCUAAUGCAAUAAUUUUUCAAUUCAAUAACUAAUUAAUAAGAUUUUCAAAAUAUUGUAUUUAAAAACUCGUCACAAAAAAUGAAUAUAAAAGAUCAUGAAAUUCUUGCAAAGAAAACUAACCUCAUGAAAAUAUAGAAACCCCAAACCUUAAUUUUUUCAAUAAUACUAAUCAAAGUUCUUCUUGUGUUUAGGCAUAUUAGGAGAGAACCAAUAAUCUCAUCCGCAAAUCAAGCAUAGUCAAUAGUCAAUUCUUAUGUUUAGGAGUAAUAUAUAUAUAUAUAGAAAGUCAUUUAUAUAUUUAAAUGUUGUAAUGUAUAUCUUGAAACUCAAUAAGAAAGGGCUUCUUUUCUUUCCUAGUUCUUAUAGUUUAUAGAUUACCUCGGCAAAAAGGAAAAUGAGAGCUAGAGCUUGAAUCAAACAGUCCAAUCGCAAUCAUUCCUAUUAUUGUCUGACGCACUCCUGCUUUGAACCUUAACGUAUUGAUAAAAAAUCCCUUUCUCAUUUUAGACUAGGGCUUCUCUCUAUAAAUAAGGGAAUUUCUCCGCUUCAGAUGAUGUCUCAUUGGGCCCUUCGAAUGCAUUGUUUUCAUGGUCGGUAGGAGAGAGCCUUCUAUACUUUUGGUCAUUCAUUCAUUCAUCCAUUCAUCUUAUACUCUUGUUAAGAAAAGUGACUUCAUGAAAAUAUAUAUGGAAACCUCAAACCUUAACUUCUUCAAUAAUGCCUAUUAAAAUUUUUGCAAUUGAAGGUUGUGUAAUCGAGGAUGAUAAUGAUGCAAGGUUUAGAACUAGUCACUUCUAACCAAACUUAUUCUUAUACGUAUUCCCCUCUUCAUCUCAAGUCUGGGAGUUUACUUUUCUAUUUUAAGAAAAUUAAUCAUUAUUUUUAUUUUACAUGUAUUGAAAAAGGCAAAAAAAAAAAAAUUAAGAUUGAGCGAUAUGAAUCUCCGUAAAACCAGAAUCAAUCACAACAUAUAUGUGAGAAGAAAAUUUAAAAGUGUGUUUGACAAUAUUUCAUUUUGAAGUGUUUUUAAUUUUAAUGAAAAUAUUUUUUUUAAAAGUGAUUUUGAGAGAAUCAUCUAUUAAAUGUUUUUUUAAAAAGCACCAUAAAUAAUUUUUUAUUUGUUUAAAACUAUUUAAUAAAUUUGAUUAAAUACUUGAUUUUUCUUCAAAAAUAUUUUUUAAAGCUAGAAGUUCUUUUUGAAAAACAACAUCAAAUGGACGUAAGUCUUAAAAUAAAAUCCCAAAUCUACCAUUGAUUUAAUUAUACUUUUCAAAUCCAUCCUAUGGGCCUAGGCAACCUUGAAAUACCCAUCCCUAUUAUAAUACAAAAGCAAACCACCACUAAGGAUAUUUAAACAACAUUUUAAAGACAAUCGAAACCUAUCAAUGAGUCUUUGUCUUAUAAUACAAAUUUCGUUAUGUUCACAUGUAGAAAGGGACAAGUAAUACAUAAAAACUAAAAAUCAUAUACAAUAGAAAGCUUGGAAUCAAGAGGGAAGAGAGUAGAAAGUUACGAAGUGGUGGAGCCUUGGGUAAAAUAAAAUUAACAAUGGCAUUAUCAUGUGCGUGUCUCAUCGCUUGAUGGGUUAUAACUAGAGCCCACUUGAUGCUUAGAAAAAUAUAUUUGCAGGUGGUCUCCAUCUGUCAAUUGAUUAAUCUAUACAAUAUUAAAAAUCCACUUGAUGUUAAUUUAGGAAAAUUAUUUUAUUUUGUUGGUGAUGGCCUGUCUCCCAUCUUCUUCAAGUUUCAACUCUGGACUUCUCAAAUUUGCAAAGUGCAGUGCAGUGAUUCAUCUUUCUUAUUUGUUCCAUCUUUGGCCGAAUUCUAGUCAUUUUUUCUGUUACUUCCGGAAAGCAAUCUUGGGUCUUGUCCCAUCAAAAAUCAAAGCAACCAGCUACUAGGCAUUUGAAUUCAAGAACAACAAAUCAAACUAAAAAACUUUAUGUACAAAUAAGUAUCUUAUUAACAAAUACUUCUUCGUUUAUCGACGAUUUGUGGUUCAACUUAAAUAAAAUUAUUAUUAAUAAUUUUAAGAUAAUAUAUGAAUGCUAGAAUUGUUGGUCAAUUAAUAUAAUUAAUGUGUGAUGAGGUAUAGCACUAUAAAAAUAACUAAAAGAAUAAUCAAAUUUACCCCAUUUCAAUUGGGAAGAGCAAAAUAAACUUUAUUUCACAUUAGAAGACAUUUUGCAAAAAAGUUCAAUAUUUACUAAUAACAAAAUAUAAAAGUCAAUAUAGUUGAGAAACAAGGAAAUUUAAGGAUUUUAGUGUUAAAUCCUUUAUAUGAUGAUAAGAUAUUCUUAGAAAAAGCAAAAUGUAAUAGCAUCUCCUUUAUUUAUUUAUUUUCUUUCAAAAAAAUGUUAUAAAUUGUACAAGUUAUAUGAAUAAUUCAAAUUUUGGCAAUAAAAAUACAAUUCAAUGCCACCGUGACCAAUCAGAAUUGUUUAAAAAAUAAUGUAAAGCAUAAUGUAGUGGUGAUGAAUGCAAGCAUAAAACCAUUGUGGAGCCAAGAUUCAAGGGGCAUCAAUGGAGGAAAAAUAUUAAAGAAAUGGAGGAGGGUGUAUGCAUAGAAUUAUCAUGGACACAGUGCGGGGGGCCCAUCUCUUUCCUAAAAGGAAGACAGAAUAAUUAAGCGACCCAGCUUCUCUUAUGAUGGGAUAUUGCAUCAGGUUAACUUCACCCCAGUCUCAGUCUCUUUGAAUUACCAAACCCUAGUCUCUUCUCUCUUUACUGCUAAUCCUCAUCUCUUUUCCUCUUUCUGUGCUCUCCGGAAACUUUUGUAGAUGGUGGCAUAGCUGCCUAUACUGAAGUUUUAACUCCGGAGUUUUUGAUUGAUAAGGGCAGUGAUUCAUCUGCUCCCUGUAUUGCAAACUAUCCCCUCUUUCUUCUAUCUUUGGCUCAACUUCAGUCCUUUUUUCCUUUGAUUUCCCGAAAGCUAUGGAGUUCCUGAGCUCAAUCGUGGGUCUGAUCCCCUGCUUCUAUGAUCACACCUCCAAGCAUACGGUCUACAUUCGUGAUCUAAACAAAAAUCUCCAAGCCUUGAGGAAGGAAAUGGCGAAGCUCAACAACUUGUAUGAAGAUGUGAAGGCAAAGGUUGAACGUGCAGAGGAACGACAGAUGAUGCGCACAAAGGAAGUGGGUGGCUGGAUCUGUGAAGUAGAAGUCACAGUGACAGAAGUUAAAGAAACUCUGCAAAAGGGCGAUCAAGAAAUCCGGAAGAGAUGUCUCGGAUGCUGUCCCAGGAAUUGUUGGUCUAGCUACAAGAUUGGAAAGGCAGUAAGCGAAAAGCUGGUUGCUGUAUCUGGUCAAAUCGGCAACGGACAUUUCGAUGUUGUAGCCGAGAUGUUGCCUCGUCCUCCAGUUGAUGAUCUGCCCAUGGAGGCGACUGUGGGCCCACAAUUGGCGUAUGAAAAGAGCUGUAGGUUUCUCAAAGAUCCACAAGUGGGAAUUAUGGGAUUGUAUGGAAAGGGGGGUGUUGGCAAAACCACCCUCUUGAAGAAAAUCAACAAUGAAUUCCUUGCAACAUCCAAUGACUUUGAGGUUGUGAUUUGGGCUGUGGUGUCAAAAUCGCCCGACAUUGAAAAAAUUCAGCAAGUUAUUUGGAAUAAAUUGGAAAUCCCACGUGAUAAAUGGGAAACUAGAAGCAGUAGGGAGGAGAAGGCUGCAGAAAUUUUGAGAGUUUUGAAAAGAAAAAGGUUCAUCUUGUUGUUGGAUGACAUUUGGGAGGGACUUGAUCUCCUAGAAAUGGGGGUCCCGCGUCCAGAUACUGAAAAUCAGUCCAAGAUAGUUUUGACGACCCGAUCACAGGAUGUCUGCCACCAAAUGAAAGCUCAGAAGAGUAUAGAAGUGGAAUGUUUGGAGUCAGAAGAUGCCUGGACUUUGUUCCGGAAGGAGGUAGGAGAAGAAAUAUUAAAUUCUCAUCCGGAUAUACCGAUGCUUGCAAAGGUUGUUGCUGAAGAGUGCAGAGGUUUACCUCUCGCUCUUGUCACUCUUGGGCGGGCCAUGGCAGCUGAGAAAGAUCCCUCAAACUGGGACAAGGCAAUACAAAAUCUACGCAAAUCUCCAGCUGAAAUCACAGGUAUGGAAGAUAAAUUGUUUCAUCGAUUGAAACUCAGUUAUGAUAGGUUGCCUGACAAUGCCAGCAAAUCUUGUUUUAUAUAUCAUUCCAUGUUCCGAGAGGACUUGGAGGUUUAUAAUUAUCAACUUGUAGACCUUUGGAUAGGGGAGGGGUUCUUAGGUGAAGUUCAUGACAUACAUGAAGCACGUGAUCAAGGGAGGAAAAUUAUUAAAACUUUAAAGCAUGCAUGUUUACUGGAGGGUUGUGGUUCAAGAGAAAGAAGGGUUAAGAUACAUGAUGUGAUCCGCGACAUGGCCUUAUGGUUAUACGGUGAACAUGGGGUGAAAAAGAACAAAAUUCUAGUAUACAAUAAAGUUGCUAGGCUUGAUGAAGUUCAAGAAACUUCCAAGUUGAAAGAAACAGAGAGGAUAUCAUUGUGGGAUAUGAACUUUGAGAAAUUCUCUGAAACAUUGGUGUGUCCCAAUAUCCAGACUUUAUUUGUGCAAAAAUGUUGUAAUUUGAAGAAAUUUCCAAGUAGAUUCUUUCAAUUCAUGCUUCUACUAAGAGUUCUGGAUUUAUCAGACAAUUAUAAUUUAAGCGAGUUGCCUUCUGAGAUUGGUAAAUUGGGUGCCUUGAGAUAUCUUAAUUUGUCAUUCACAAGAAUAAGGGAGUUACCCAUUGAACUAAAGAAUUUGAAAAAUCUGAUGAUUUUGCUUAUGGAUGGUAUGAAAUCCCUUGAAAUUAUUCCACAAGAUGUGAUAUCAAGCCUUAUAUCCUUGAAGUUGUUCUCCAUGGACGAAUCCAAUAUCACAAGUGGAGUUGAAGAAACCUUACUGGAGGAGUUGGAGUCCUUGAAUGAUAUCAGUGAGAUAUCAACCACCAUAUCCAAUGCUCUUUCAUUCAACAAACAAAAGAGUAGUCACAAAUUACAAAGGUGCAUAAGUCAUCUACAUUUACAUAAAUGGGGGGAUGUGAUCUCACUUGAACUAUCAUCUUCAUUUUUUAAAAGAGUGGAGCAUUUGCAGGGGCUUGGAAUAAGCCAUUGCAAUAAGUUGGAAGAUGUAAAAAUUGAUGUGGAAAGAGAAGGCACAAACAAUGAUAUGAUUCUUCCAAACAAAAUUGUAGCAAGGGAAAAAUACUUCCACACCCUUGUUAGGGCAGGUAUAAGAUGUUGUUCAAAAUUGUUAGACUUAACAUGGCUUGUUUAUGCUCCAUAUCUUGAAGGACUUAUCGUUGAAGAUUGUGAAUCAAUAGAAGAAGUGAUACAUGAUGAUAGUGAAGUCUGUGAAAUUAAGGAAAAAUUGGACAUAUUCUCAAGGCUCAAAUACCUCAAGCUUAAUGGGCUGCCAAGAUUGAAGAGCAUCUACCAACAUCCACUACUCUUUCCCUCUCUUGAAAUCAUCAAGGUGUGUGAAUGCAAAGGUUUGAGGAGCCUCCCAUUUGAUUCCAACACUUCAAGUAAAAGUCUAAAGAAAAUUAAAGGAGAGACAAGUUGGUGGAAUCAGUUGAAGUGGGAAGAUGAAACUAUCAAGCACUCUUUUACUCCGUAUUUCCAAAUCUGUGAAGCUGAAGCAUAUUCAACAGACACUGAGGAGUCUGAAAUUGGCAGCAUAGAUGAUAUGAAGGAACAACUAGUAUCAAAUUAACUUCUAUCAAUCUUUCAGGUAUUAAUUAACUUUUAUACUAUAUUUGGAAAAUCAUUUUCUUUCCUUAAUCCCAUUCUUUUGUGGAAUUUUUUACUCUAUCUAUGCCAAAGUGCAUCAAAGUCUCGACAUCAAAAUAACUUUCAAUGUUUGAUCUAUCAAGUUUGCCCCUUUUGAAGUAACUGUUAUAAAGUUUGCCCAGAAGGGACUUUGGAGGAGGUCUUUUAUUUAAACAUCUAAUGACAUUUCCUUUUGGUUACUUAAGAACUUGAAAAUAUGCAGAGUUCUCAACUAUGUUAUUUAUUGUGUCUUAAUUUUUUCGAUUCAUUUCAAUCUAUAAGUAGAAAGAGAGAAUACCUAAUUUCAACUUAUUUCUUUAUAUUUCAAGUUGAAACAACAGGUGUUUCGCAACAACUGUAGGUAAAGAUAUUCCAUUAAGAAUUCUCGCUUUGUUUAAUGUAUUUACCAGGACCAACUAUAUGUAAUUUCUCUUCUUUUGUUCAGUUGCCUCUAUCUGGUUGACUCUCAGUUGUUUUUUUUUUUUUUUUUUUCUAUUGCAUUCAGAGUUGGGGCUUGUUCUAGAGGUUCUGACAACAGCUGGGAUUCAAUUAGCUCUAUGUAGUGGGGCCUUGAGUUUUUUGAUUGGAUGCAGAGUAGGGUCUUGUUCUACCUGUUCUUACUCAGUUGGGAUCUGAGCUUCUUCGGCUGCUUCCGUUUCAUCCUGCUCUUUUUCCUUCUAAUUGGUAUAGAUGUGAGCUGGAUUAUGUUUGCUUGCUGGUCUGAGUUUCUGAUAUGUCUAGUGGCGGUGUGCUGAUUCUCAGAGUAUCGUUAUUCAUGGUGCUCGGUCUGCUGGGAAAGUUGGUUAAUGUCCAGAUGCAGGGGCUCAUCUCGGCAGGCUUUGGUUGGGAUCCAUGUGUUUGCUGGAAUUGGAUUCUGUGGGUUGCCUUUGGCUUUUGAUGUAGGCCGGGUUUGUUUUCUUUGUUGAGGCUGGUGGAGUAUGGUGGCUCAGAAGCUGCUAGUAAUCUGUCUGUUGUAUGCUGACGCUGGAAUCUUCAUGGAGGUUGCUCUGGUGGGUCAAUAUGAUAUGGGAAUGCUUUUGCCUUUUGAGUCCUUGGGCGUCAGCUGGUUGCUUGUGUUUCCUCUGCGCUUUAGUUCAUAUACCAGAGUGCAUACUUCCUUGAGUUCCAUAUCCCACUGCCAAGUGUGUUGUCCAUGAUGUAAUGUAAAGCAGUUAAUUUGUAUACCUGGCCUUAAGUUCCUCUCUAGAAAACUUUGAACGCCCUUUAUGAAUGAAAUGUUGUGAGAAAAACUGGAGUUGAUUUUCACAUUUGAGGUCGUUAAUGGUGAUUUUUCUUAAUGUAAUUGUGAUCGAAAAGAAAUUUGAUCAAGUAGUCGAAACUAUAAGCAGAGUUGAUCUUAUUCAACAUUGCAUUAUAAUUUGGUACCCCUCACAGAUCGCUCCAAAUAGCAUUGAAAAGUACUUUCAUUUUCCUUCAGUGGAG